GUCCUAGGGCCACCAUUCCCAAAAAGCACCAUAUACCUCCACGCAAGUUAAAGAUGUGAGCCAUUCUAUAGCCAAAAUAUCUCUGGUUGUAAGGUUAUCCCAGGCAAGGUUAUUGCCAUGGUUGCCUGAUUUCUCACUGUCAAAGCCCAACAAGAUGUUAAUCAUUUCUCUUUGCAGGUCAGUCUGAUGCUGUUUGCAAGUAUGCUGGUGUUUCUCCAGGAAUUCUGGACUUGAGGGUUGCUCAAAGCAACCUUCUGGAGGCCUAUGAGAAGUUCCAGCCACAGGAAUUCUACCCAGAAAACACACAGGUUUCAUACAGCACAUCCUUCUUCACUGCAAAGCAGCAGUUUAAUAAGAGCUCUGAGUAUCUCAGCAGAGGUCACUAAGUUACUUUUAAAUAUUGGCACAGAGAACGUACAGUUUCAUCUUCAGCAGAACCUCCCUUCCCAGCAAGCUCCACACUGAGAACAGAUAGCCUACCCCUGAGGUAUCAGCAUGAGGAGGAAUCACUUCUGUCCCCACUGUGAGCAGCCUCUUUGUGUCAGCCUCAGUACUACAUCCUCGGCAUGACAUGAUAGGGAACAACAUACAUGCAGUCCCUGCAUGAUUUCAAGGGAAUACGGAGAAGGCUCACACUGCUCUUACAGUCACCUUUCCAAAAGGUAUUCCCACCCCAUGCAACCAUGUCAAUUUAAUGAGAUUACAGCACAAUUAAUUCCAAGCUCAUGCUCCUCCUUAGCUACAUCUCCAACUAGAGUUGCAGCUUUCUUUCUCUGAAGAUGGAGUGGGCUUUUGUCUCCUCUAUCAAUUCUGCUGAGAAAAUGUUAAUCAUGUCAUCGGAAAUAUCAUGUGCUUUAUGGUCAGCUGUCUUUGUUUUAUUUGGAAGAUGCCUGAGUAAGUCCAAAAUAACCUGCAGCCUUAAGCUGUGCUUGAGAAAAAUUGAUUGACUGUGCUGAAGUCAUUAGAGGAAGUAAACAGUGUUAAGCAAGAUAUAUGAAAGUAUAAACCUACAUUGUUCUUUGUCCAUUUGAAGAUCACAGUGUAACAUAGAUCUAUGAUCUGUAGGUUAAAAUUGGUUGCUGACUGUGCAUCAAAUUUUAUUUUCUUACAAAAAUGGUAUAAUACAUAAAACGGAGAAGCUUAAAUUAAUGCAGACUUAGUUCCCCUUAAAUCACAUACACAAUCAACGGAGACAUGUUUUUUUUUCAUAACACAAAUACAACAGUAGAAAUGCCCAAUGUGUGCUAUCACUUAUGUGUUGCCCACUCCUAAAGGCAAAAUUGUCUGUGUGCCUGUGUAGGGAACAUAAUGAAAACUGUAAAAGUUAAAUAUGAAAUAGUGUGUUAAUAUAGGUCCACCCUCAAACACUAAACUAAGACAAAAUCCAAAUGGAAAAAUAUUAAAAAUAAAUGUCCCUUCUCUCUAAAACAAGAACACGGAAAAAAGUCACCCUGCAACAAGGUUAACCCUUUGUGUUUUUUGGAGCCUGUAGACCUCAAAGCAAUACGCCAGUGGGAGUUGUCAGCAUGCUUCAUCCUCGUUUAACAGUGGGAGGAAGCUGAUACAGCCCAUCUGUUUCAUUUUGGAGGUACAAAGCUUAGGAAGAUGAGAUGCUGAUUUGUCACACGUAAUUUGACCUUAUGAAUGACAAUGUCAUGAAGAGAGCUCAGGUCUUCUUUGUGGUUGCUCUGCCCUCCUUGCCUUUGAUCAAACCAGCUCCUUUCCUUUGGCGCAUCUGUUAAAGACAAUAGCUAAUGAGCAGCCUUGCAGCAGCGGUUGUGCUCUGACCAGCACGUAAUUCAAUCGCACAAAAGAAAGUAAUGCUGAUUGUCGUUACAGUUAUAGUUAAUAUAAAUGUCUCAUAGGAGAAAUAAUCUCCAGCACACCCAUUUUCAAGCCACAAAGACUUCGGGCUUCAGUCUGCUCCUUUUGACUAAUGCUACUCAGUUUUUUACAUGAAGUGCCUCUUGUGACAUCACUUCUGGGUCUUGCCAAUGGUUCUUGUGCCACUAAAAUCGCACAGAAUGCAUACAACAGCAACUGAAAAAUAAGCUGUAUUUUUUCCUUGAUCUUGUCUGAGUAGAUUUUGCUUUUUAUGCAAACGCUCUCAGCUGUGGCCAUAGCAUAGAAGCUGCAUUGUGCAAUUGCCACUGCUGAUGGCACAAUCAGCUUUGCUGAGACACUUUCUCUAUUAGUGUCCUGCUGUGAGCAUCUAAAGGAGAACUUUGACUGUAGACUGCAAAGAUGGUGGAAGCAAAGGCUUGAAUAAACCACCCAUAAUGUUGGUUUUGCAUUUCAAGGAAAAAUGGUAAUUCUCUUUCUCCACUGCACAAUUUAACUUUCCAGCUCUAUGAGACAAAGAGAGAUACCCAAUGAAGUAAAAAAAGGUUGUAAUUAUAUGAUAUCAGGAAGGGAAUACAUGUAGUGUCUGUAUCAGCAGCAAAUUCCCAUCUAAGAAAUGGAAAAAAAAAUUUUAAGUAUAUAAUCUAUCAUAACGUUAAAGGCUGGAGCCAGAGGAAGAAAAAAAACCUCGGCUUUUCAGUUAAUUACCUCCUAGAAAUUAGUUCAGUGGUUCCCAGUAGACUGAACAAGAAUUAGUUCAAUGAACAGGAGGAUUCACAUGGAAAAACUCUAAAUUCAUUUUGGUUUUCCAAGUAUUCUCUGCUUGGUGAGAUUCCCAGCCACUAGCGCUGUACUUGCCUGGACUGUUUUUAACCUGUUUGUAUCAGUACUGGUGGCCUGUAGAGAAGUGCUUUGAGACCUAUAGUACCAGAAAGUGCAACAUGCAUCAUACUGCUGCUGGUUUUAAUGAUGGGUAUGAAAUGGAGAUAAAUUAACUGCCUCCACCAAGCUGAGAGUGAACCUUAAAAUCGAACAAAAGCUUGACAUGCAUCAAACCACAAAGCUGUUGAGAUAGUUCAGGCUUGCUUCUUGUUGUUGCUGGAGUUUUAUUGUUACAUAUUACCUCAUGCAAAUUUUGUUUCCCAUGUGCUUCCCCAGAAUGGCCAGAUCCUUGCGCAACAAGGCUGGCACCUGUCCACAGAGGAGAGCAGGCUCUGGGAGGGCACUGGUUCCAGCCCCUGCUCCUGCAAACUCACUUGGGUUAAGGACCAGGGCUAAAAAAAGUAAAGAAUGGCAGAAAGUAGCUGUUUGCUGUGAAUGAAAAGACACUUCACGUAAAACCAAGAGCUCACAAAGACAAGCUUUUCACCCACAAUGUCAGGCUCUGUAGGCAUGGAGAAAAAGGCCUCUCUAUGACCCUGUCCUCCAGAGGCCAUGAGGAGGCAAAAGGCGUCAGUGAGGCAGUAAGGAGGUACGAUUGCUGGAGGUAAGAUCAAGCCAAAGGGAGCUGUUACAUGACCUGUCACCAGAUCUGGAGCAAAACUACUGUCUACUGAAAAACCACCCACUAGCUGCUGCAGGUCUGCCUCAGAGCCCACCAAAAGCAUUGGGAGGACACAUGGAGUCUUCAUGGGCCGCUUCAUGGGCUCUGUCUGGUCAAUUCUGAAGGUCCCUUCCACAGGGACAAUGAGAUGUUUGGGCCUCCAGUGCAAAACAAUAGCUUUUGGGAACUGUUAAAAAGCCCAAAAUGUCCCUCCAGAUCCUGCUUAUCAAAGCUUUAAGGCUGACAGUUGUGAUUAUGAUGAGCUUUCCUCAACUUGUUGUCAAAUUACAUUUAUCUUCCUGUCAGGCCUUCUUGUACCUGAGCAAUAACGAAUGCACCAGCAGUUUAAAGCACAUUUCCCCAGCCUCCCUCUCUAGGAACCACUCCAAGUACUGUCAUUCACCUGACCCAGAUACUGUAUUAUUUUGCCAACAUUUCUCCAGACCACUCUUGAUACUUUCAAAAACCCCACUUCUCAGCCUACAGUGUAGCUACACAGUAGUUGCUAUUCUUAAAUGCAAGCUUGUCAAAGCAGAGCACAGCAGGUAUUAAUAACCAGCUGCUGCUUUCCUUCUCAAGCAAAGCAAUGAGGAGCAGCUGAAGAUCUGUUUAUACAAUUCUUAAAGAGCAAAGUUCUUCAUUCCCCCCAGAAGCAUUGUUGAUUCAAUUGAAGAACUCCCCUUGGGGAGGGGGUUGCUUGCAGAAAGGUUACAGCCCGUUAAGAUAAAAUUAUCUCCAUCAAUUGUCAGCUCUUCAACCUAAUGGUGAUGAUCUUGAAUAGUUUGCUCUACUCUGUAAAACUACAUACACAGCUUAAUUAUAUUAAUUAGUAAAAUAGUAUUAUCAUAAAGAAUCUGGCUCUAUAUCUCAGUGCUAGAAAGGAAAGUAAAAAAAAUAUGAAAAAUAAUUUAAAAACCCUAAAUGAAAAUAGUACAAAUUAGUCUGAAUGACACCUGUCACUUAUUAAAUAGGAACUGGUCACUGUUGUGUUUUGACUGCUAAAAAUCUGUUUUCAUGCCUGUUCCAAGAUCUGCAAAAUGGACUUAAAAACAUGUUUGUUCAUGAGUGGGUUUUCUAGGGUUUUUUUAAUUUGGUUGAUUUUGGUUGUUAUUGUUGUGAUGGUUUUUCUUUAUACUUGCAAUGAAUGCAACAUAGGAAUGCUUACUGAUGUCCUUCCAAAGGGAUAUGUUUCAGUACUAGGAACUUAUGCUUAAAAAUAUAAAAAGGCGCUGUAAAGGUAGGUAGUUGAAGCAACAAGGUGGUUAUGCAAGGCUAUACCUGGUUCCUAGAAAUGUGUAAUCUCAAGCUUUCCCAAUUUGUCUAGAGUAAACUGAAAAGAAGUGAAGAGAGCAUAAAUUGAUGAUCUUCAUCAAGCCUGAGACGUGUAGGACUCAAAGAAUGAUGUUUUGUGGGUUCGCAGUAGACACCAAAGCGAGUCAGUGUUACGUUUCAUAUUUCCUGCAGGGGAGCAUCAGCAGUCACAUGAUGUUCAGGAACAAAAACCAAGCUCUGUUCUGUGCUUUGUUUUCUGAUCAUAAACCCAUCUUUCACACUGAAGAUUAUAUCUGCUUUUACUGUGUCUAUCAGAUGCUUUGUCCUUGUUUCAAAGCUGUACAUUACUUCAACCACGUGUUUACAGCUGAAGUAGUGUUACCUUUGAGUAAAAGGAAUAGAUUUGGUCCCUCAUUUUUAAAACUGCUCCAAAACUAUCUGAAUCGUUGACUUUAUUCCUCAUUAAGUGUGGUAAACCGAGAAAAUUCCUGAGAAUGACAAGCCAGGAAAUCUAGAGGGAUUCUAGAGGGAUAAACACAGAUGCUGCACGAUCUAUACAGUCCUGGAAAACAAAUCGUAAUAAGCAAUUUUCCCUGGUUGAAAUCGGGGAGAGGAAAGAGGAUAGAGAAUUCAAAGGUUGAUGACUUAAGAAAACUCAGUAUAAAAGAUUUUACUACAUAAUAGGUCAAGUAAGCUUAACUUAGUUGAUGAGGUUAUAAUUUGACAAUUUUGUGCAGAUAUUCUGUGUUGUGCACUUCAAAUUAAAAUGAAUGGCAGUACCUAAAAUUAGUUGAAUUAUGUUAAUAAUUAACUGUGAACAGGAAGACACCAUCUUGAAGAAGACUUUCUAGUGGGGCGCCAUGUAGGCCUUUCAUUCAAUUAUUUCUUGCAUUCAAUUGCAUUCAAUUAUUUCUUUAUGCUGCUCUGAAAGAAAAUAGAAUUAAGGAUAAAAUUUGCAGAGGACACAAAUUACUGAAGUAUGAAUAAAAAUGAGGUGAAUUCAUUUGUACAGAUGGAAUUCCAUCACUUGACUACAUGAUGGCGCUGAGCAUAUAUUUGGGAAAGAAGAGAUGUGUGACUAGCAGAGGGAGCUCAUGUGAUACAUCAGUAGCUAGAACCAUAUCUGUGUCAUUCUUGGAAUACUAUUUCUAUUUUCAUAGCAUCAACACCAGAAUUUAUGUUGAGAGAUCAAAAGGGAUUAGCAGGGAAGGCCAAAGAAUGACUUGAGGUCUUGACAGGGCACUUCAGGAAGAUGCUUCAAUUUGAUGCAUAAUGUAAUUUGUGUUUCAGCGUGAUUAGACCACAUGAAAGACUUCUGAUUACAGUAGGAUCUCUUAUCUGGUGAAUGAGUGAAAGCUCAAGGCAGACAGACUCAAGCUAGGAAUCAAGUGAAAGUUUUACCAAGGGAAAAACUAGCCCUUGAACAACACAGCCUACAAAAUUGUUUAAUUUUUAAUUUUCAUCAUCCUGGAUCUCUUAGGAAGGAAGGAACGUGGCUGUAAAGUCCUACUCCAGAUGAAGAAUUGUUAGGCAGGAGACACUAGGUGAACUGGUGUUUAUAACUCGUGUUAGAGUGUUUGCCAGGAACUUUUUAGUAAAAUGAACCCGAGACCAAUUUGUCCCUGCACAGUGGCACUCUUCAAGCCAAGAAGACAGAUCCGUGAUGUUUCCUUUGGUUUUCUGCAGAGGUACAAAAUAAACAGUAGCCACUAAGAUCAUAAAUUUAGCUGCAUGGCAACUUUCAGGAAAGGCAGCAAGAGUUUUAUAAAUAGGGGCAGGCAAAGCAACAGAGAUGACAAAGUUAGAAACAACCUCACCCUGGACCACAGAAAAAUAUUUACAAAAAUGUGUGUAAAAAUUAGACUAUAAAAAACUGUUAGUGACUAAAAUCAGAAUGUUUUAUGUGAAUAAUGUACCCCAAGGGAGACAUCUGAUGGUUAUUUGCAUCAUGACUGACAUUUUCAAAGAUGACAUCCCAGGAGAGUAGCCCAAUAAGCCUUGAUUUUUAGUGGUGCAAUUCUGCUUUGAGAAGUUUGGUCUAAGUAUAGCCAUUCCUAUCAGCUGUGGUGAUAUCCCUCUGGUCCAGUAUUUGCUCACUGGAAUUGAGCCCCUUCUAAGCAGUCCGUGAGAUCUGCCAUUUAGAGCGGCCAUAUGUUAGCUGUGUUGAAGUAUUAUUCAGGGAGAAAAUUCGUAGCGUAGGAGAGCAAGGGCUUCUGCCACAAGGUAGCCAGAAAUAGUCUGUGGUACACCCAAAGUAAUGUGAUAUAUAUAAAGCAUACAAAGCCUUCCUUCCAGAUCCCAGGACACCAGCACACCUAGCCUCAGUUUGACAGAUGCACAGUCAUUCGUAUGUUCAGCUGGGGUCAAGGAAGCAGUGCGGUUUGAGGUUUACAAAAAUAUAUUUCUUUCUCAAAAUAUCUCUGGCCAGGUCCAUCGUGGUCAGCUGGCCUCAGCUCGGUUGACAUCUCAUUUCUGGAUUACAGGGCACUGAAUCACUUUUCUUCUACUUGCAGUUUGCAUCCUCACGGAAGCAAUUUGGAGGUUAAUUUCACAUCUCCAAAAGGUGUGCUCAUCUUUAAGACUGGUUGAAGAAUAGAGACCUCCCUGCAUAGAAAUUCUCUUCCCUUCCCACUGUCAGUGAAAACAGUGGCCCUGGAUUUCCUCCAAGUUAAAAAAAGAGAACAUGGAUUUAAUGCAAAUUGUUACUCAGUAAAUGUCAUGGAGUCUGAACCUAAAAUCGGUGAUUCCAUGUACAAGUUACAAGUUACUCGUGUCUCCAUGCUCUGGAAAAUGAUCCCCCUUGGUUUGAGGUAUGAAGAACUUGGACUUUUUAAGUCAUUUUCUCUCAAGUAUGUGUCAUUAUAACUGUGCCCUUAGAUAAAACUCACACUUUUUUUCUGAAAUAAUCCUGAUAUUUCAUAUGAAUCAAGUUUCUCAUGUGAUCCAUGGCUUCAGGCAACUUUCAACUCAAGCAAAAAGAAUUGAGAGGCUGGCUUUGUCUCCCUUAAAACUGGCCGAGUUUUAUGCUACUUGGAAAAAGAUGAAACUGCAUUUCCUAGAUGGGUCUUUGCAAGACAAAGCCCUUUGAUUUCAGAGAGUUUUCUUGCCUUACUAAGAGAAGGAGCAGUAAAGCCUCUUCUUCUGUGAGCAUUCAGUGCGGGACUCUGGACACAGCUGGCUCUGCAAUGAGCUGGCUUAGACCCUGAAACUUUGAAGAGGCCAUAGUGGAUUUCACGGAAUCAUAGCACGAGUCUUGGAAUGGUUUCAGUUGGAAGGGACCUCAAAAUUUCACCUCAAAAUACCUCUGAUGUACAUGGUAUGUGCAAGAUUCAUGUGCAAGGUCUGCUUAUACCUGUAUGGUGCUGUUAUGCCCCUGCAUAGAUCGAUAUAUUAGAUGCUCCUUUGGCUGGGGCAGCCCUCUCUAUCUGAUAUGCCGGCAAGACUCAAUAUCCUCUGUUUUAACCUGUGCUGUGCUUCAGCACCCCCCUUUGCAGAUUAAGCCCAAAGCAAGCACCCAAUGAAUGAAGAAAACCCUCACUGCUGUUCUUCCAAAUUUAUUGUGCUUUCUGUUACCUGCCCCACUUGCUGAGCCCUCUCUGUGUGACGAACCUGCAGCAGAGGACUGAUGCUCUUAUGGCUGGCCACAUACCCACCCCAAGAGUGUUACAGUCCUGGUGGAAGACCGCUAGGUCAUGACAGUGAGAAGCAUUUUUGCACCUACAGUGGAGAACAAGAGAAUAACAGCUCAUAAAGCUCCUGUUCCCAAGUGCUCUAUCAAAAGGGAAAGACGUGAGCACCCUGCUGCCUCAGGUGAGUUGUGGUUGCUUGCUUGUCUGCCCAUGCUGGCACACUGGGACUUCAGCACUGCUGGGGAAACAGUUAAUGAAAUAAACAUGCUCCAUUUCUCGGCCAUUUAAGCUAUUUUCACUUGUGUCAGGUUUCAUUUUACAAAGCCCUGAUGUUGUGGCUGAAAGCAGUCGGCAGUUUGAAGCUUCUGAGAAGAGUUUCACAAUGGAUCAUCCAGUAUGUGGUAAUGCAUCUUUUUGACACCAAAUUUUGCACUUCUUCCCAUUAGAACUUCCAGCUGAAUAUGAAUUUAACUUUGUUUUAGGCACAAGCACCCUUCCAAUCCCAGAUGGCCUCAGCAUGCAACAAUCCCCUGGAUAAGGCUGAGCCUUCAGCUCACAUUUAGAGUUCAGCUGGCUACAAUUUACAUGAGAAAUAGUUGGCAGUUCAGCCCAUUUUGUCAUCUUCUCUGCUUCUUCUGCCAUGUCAGAUCUCUUUCAGCCUUAGAAGAAGACUAUGUGCAUGAAGAGAACAAAGUCCCGCUGCUGAGACAUUUAAAUGCCAUAAAAUGUCAGAAUAUCUGAUGUGCUUCAAGAUCUUAAAAAAGGAUUAGAAGUGCAGAGAAUUCAUUGGCUGCUGACAUGCAGCUAAUAGCACGUUUGUAUGCAAUGAUUUCACACUGUUUCUGCAGUUUUAAAUGUCAUGUAAGUGUAUAAAUUCCUUUCAAACAUAACCUUUACUAUGGGAACAUCAAUAACAGAAAAAUCUAAUUAAAGGAUAAAAAAAACUUUGUGGAAACAUAGCCUUUUUCAUAUCAAAUUGGUAAUGAAUUAAUAGAAUUCUAUGAGGGAUAUUAUUUCAGAUGAGUGCUGACCAGCACAGAGAAAACACAACCUUCCACAACAUCAUUUAGUGGACGUUUCUCCCCUCCCUUCAGCAACCCAUCCUCACUCUUUGUAAUCCUGCAUGAAUUAUUAUUCUGUGUGGCUGCAUCAAAACACACAAAAACAGCAGCUGGACCUCUGAAACCUCCCCAUUUCCUUCAGCCAGAAUCCCUCGCACUGGGACACUUGCCACCUUGCCACAGUCUGUUACACCCAAGCCUGUGGCUGAUGAAUUACAGCUCUGUCAGUUGUCCUGUCCAGCAAAUUGCCAGCGCGUGAGGAGGAACCCAGCAUCAUUAACAGCGUUACAGAGCACCAUGGACAAAGUAAUAGCAGGCUGUGUUUCCCUCGCUCAGUGCUUCCCCUGGAAAACUAGGCCAUGGUGUCCUUCAAACCAUAAUGAGAAUUACUAUUGAGAGGACUGUCAAUCUAUGUAACAGAAGAAACGAGGCUUGACAGUUCAGAAAAUUGGGGAUAAGUACAGUAGGAGAACCAAUUACUGUGAAAUGAUUCUUUCUUUUUUUCUCUAUGCUCAGUCUAAAACAACGAGAACUGACCCAGGCCAAAGCUGUUGUCUAAUUUUGACAACAUACGGUUAUCUGUACCGAGCUGUUGAGUUUUGCCUGGAAGAUUUAGGAUAUGAUAAAGUUCAAUUUAGGGUGUUCUCUCCCUAAGCAAAUAGUUAAGUCUGUGCUGCAGAAGUGAGAUCUGAAAAUGCCAUAUCACAAUGCAAAUGGACCAGCAGAGCAGCCCUCACCCCUUUCUGUUUCUUUUAUUGUAUCCCUAGAGAAUCCCUGCAAGAAUAAUUUUGUCUUCUGGGACUUUCCAACCAUCGUUUACUUUCCCUUCCAUCGUGAUCAUUUAGAAACUAUUAACCUUCCAGGCUUCACUGGUGUGGCUCCUUCACCUCCCUCCACAUCACUCUGUGGCAGCUGCCAGCCCUGAUACGACCCAUGAUGGGAGCAGCAGUUUUGGGAGCAGUCAGCCCUGGGAUAAAUCACUGUGACAAAACCACAUUUCUGGACUCCCCAGCACAGGGCACAAACGUCUCCAAAUGAGGGAGGUUCCCCAUCUAGCCACUGCAGCCCCGCAAAAUUCCUUUAAUUGGAGCCCUACAUCUCUCAUUGCUCUUAAAGUGGUGCAGACCAAAGCAAUGCUUGGGAGUCACCUCUCCUCAUUUUUAACACCCAGCUCUCGGUGCUUGCCUCUGCUGGUGGAUGUGCAGAGAGCAAUUCCUUCUUCAUGCCUUUUGGCAAGAGCAGUGUAUGUCUUAAACGUGGAAGUAUUUUUAAAUUUACUCAAAAAACUCAGGAAUUACAUAGUUUUAAAUGCACCCUGUCUACUGUAGCAACUAGCGUUGGCCACUGACCUGUACCAGUUUUCCAGGGUAUAGUUCAAAGUUCUCUGUCAUUACAAAAAAAGAGAUUUUUUUAAGCCCUGAAGUAGGAGAUUUAACCUUCCCAUGCUUACUGCAGUGUGCUGUGACUAUGAAAAUCCAUAUAAGCUGUGAGGACUCCAGUACCCUUCUUGAGCUUGCUGAGUUAGUCAGUUGACUUCAAUGAAGUCCUGUGGCAGUGAAUACUGCCUACUAAAAAAAAAAGCAUUUUCUUUCAUGGAUUUCUGCAUUUCCCAGUUUUUCAUUGCAUUAAAGGAUUUCACCAGUUAUUUACCUGUUCUGUACGCAAAACAUUGCUCAGUAGAAUCUAGAAAAACUAAUGCCAUAGUAUCAAAUGUAGCCAUUCUUAUAGCACUACAAAUGCUAUUACUUGCAGUACAGUUCAUGAAAUAAUUUUUAUCUGGUUCUUCUGGUGAGCAGUUUAUAAACAGAAUCUUGAGUGCCAGGGUCAGAUUCUCAGAGAGGUUCAGAACCCAGGGGAAUGACAUCAGUGUAAUUUGCAUGUUAUCUACUUGGGCAAGUUGAAAAAGCUGCAGUUCCAGCAUUAGUAACCGCCUUUCUAUUCUUCUACUGUUUGUAUCUAUACAAGAAAGUAAAUACUUUAAAUAUAGGGAACUGCGCUGGGGAUGGCUUUUUCCCUGUGUAGAUUAUGAAAACUGUGGGCACUUUUGUUGAAGUAUAGAGAUCUGCACACUGCCCUGUGCAUCAGUGUGGGUGCGUGGUGUCUCUCAGGGCCCCCUCAUCCAGGGAUCAUGCUGCUCUCAUCUUCAUCUAGAAAGAUGUUCAGUUACAAACUGAUACAGCUUUCAUCAAGCAAAUAAACCUUGAGUACUGGUUGUGAGACAAGGCCCAGGACAGAACGAGGUCCUUCCUCCUUCCUUUCCAAUUUCGGAUCUCACCUGCUUUGCUGGAGCAAGGCCACAGCCUGCCAGCUUUCACCUAUUUCAUAACUACAUUGCUCUUAUUGCCAGAGGGAAUGAAACAGCACAGAAAUGGCAACAAGGGUGAAGUGUGCAGCUCUUUAAGCCUGUGUACAGGAAAGGUGAGCACAAAGCACGGCUCGGCAGAGAAGGAUGUUCAGGAAGCACUGUUUCCAGUGCUGCUGGCUGGCUGCUCCCUCUCCGCAGCACGGAUGGUGGCACAGCUGCUCGCUGCAGGGAUGCUCUGCACUCUGCAGUGAGAUCCCUACCCACAGCCCCACACUGGUCCCAGAGGAGGUCUGCUUGUCUACUCCCUCUGUCGUCAUUUUUCAGCAGUCCUGGCACAAUCAUUACCAGUAUGUUACACAAAUAAAGAUCUCUUACUCUCUUACAGGGCAGUAGUGAUAUUUAACUCCUCUGCCCUCAGGACCCCAAACACCCAGGCUCGCUUUGCAGCUGACUGACAGCAGCUAUACGUUAAAGGCCUCCUCAGCAGCCCAUGGCAUGCUGGAGCAUGACUGAUGAGCACGUACCUCUGAAAAAACACUUGGACAUGAAUGUGCUUUGUAAAACCCAAUGUACAUGACAUUCAAAUAUAUCCUAAAGUUGAACUAUUUAUUAGGCAUUUUAUUUCACUCCUAGCAGGCACUGGGGGGGGGAAUUUUCUUCAGCAGUCACAAUAUGUUUCUUCUGUUACCUCAGAAUGUGCUAGGUGUCAUUUCCUCCAAUUUAUUGAUGGAGGAAACCAAGGGAUGGAGAACAAAACCUGGCCUGAGUUCCUGCGCUCCACUUCCUGGCUGCGCUGCUUUCCUUCUCCCCGAGCAGCUCUUGGCUCACAGUGCAGUGCUGGACCCCGCACUCCACCUCUAUCUCCACGGAUACACGGGCAGCUCACCUCCACUCCAUCCAAAAGCUCCUCUACAGGCUGCAGAUAUUCCAGCAAGGACAAGGCACUUCCAACCAGGCAGGAGUGGCUGGUGGCAGCUGAACCCGCGUUGGCAGUGCUCCCACAGUGUGCUCCCACGUCACAUCCAUUUUGUCCUGAGGGACCACUAACAUCUCCAGUGCCACUGGAUCCUCCAGAGCACAGGGAUCCUAUGGGAUGACACCAAGACCACGCCAUCCCAUGGCUGCCCAUACUCCUGGGCUAAAAUUCCCCAUAUUGUUUAACAUUCAGUUGCCUCCCCACUCCCUUCUGCUUUCCAGCUCGCUACACUCUACAGCGGGUGCUCCCCUGUGCCUACAAGGGUUCCUGUUGCUCUUCACUCAAGCCCUGUUUCUAACCUUCUGCUGUGCUGCUUUUUGCAGCUCUGCCUUUCCCCAGCCACCAGAGAACAGAGGUGAUGAGUCAGAAAGGGAAGUUUAAUAGUGUCCGGAAACAGAAAUAACCAGAAAACCUUGAAUAGUUUUACUGCCUUUUUUCUUACUGAGAACAAGUUGUAAAGAAUAAAGGGAAUCACGGGUUAGUUUGGAAAAUUAUAGGACUGAUCUGUUCCACGACUGCUUUCACGACAGAGGGAAUAAGAACCUGAGAGUUGUAAGACUGUGGGGAGUUUUUUCAGACUUUUACAGGAGUUCAAACAACUGGAGAUAGGAUACCUGCAGAUCUAUUAAUUUUUAAACCAAGUUAGUAAAUAUUCUAUUUAGAAAGCUUAACUGGUUAGUGAUGAGGUGUGAAUAGAAGAAGAAAAAAGUGGUGAAGUCCUACACCCAUUACAGGUAAAAGCAGCAAGCUAACGACUUCCCCAGUAUUAAAAUCCCAUGGGCCAGGCAUCCCACCGCAGCAGCUCUCCAGCUGUCAGCCAUGGGGUGUGAAGUACACACCACUGCAUGGGCUGCAAGAUUGCCCCCUUUGCAAGUAGUACUCUCCAUUUUGAUCCUCAACACAGGUGUAAAACUAGGUAGAUUCAGGCUUAUUGAAAGGAGUUGGACUCAAUGAUCCUUACGGGUCUCUUCCAACUUGGGAUAUUCUAUGAUUCUGAGAAAGAUUAUUACACGUGCACAGGACAGCCAGGAGUUCCCUCGACAUGUGCAGCAAACAAUGCAUACAGCAAGCAGAAGUAUUACUGACAAAACUGCAUUAAUGCAGUAGAAAUCCAGGAAAUCAUACAAAUGGAAAUGUAAGAACUGCAAGACUGGAAGAUUAGGUCCUUUUAGGAUUAGUUCAUUUGAUUAGGAGACCAGAAUUAAAAUUUGGAGCUCAUUUCCAUUUUUCAUGCUGGCAAUUCUGAUUCAUCUCUCUGCUGCUUCAGCUCCAAAACAGGAAAAAGUGAGCAUGGUAACCAGCCAGGGAGUCUUAUAAAAAUAUUCCUGGGUAGCUGAAAACCGGCCUGACUCAUACAGCAUCUUCCACUGUGCCUACACCAGCCAUGAAAGUCCAUGAAAUGGGGCACCCACCUAGCACUUCCUGCUGCAGAAACAUGAGAAUAUAAAGAAACAAAAGGUCCGAGGUGGAGAAGACAUCCUGCAAUACUGUGCUUAAGUCCUGAUCCUGUUGACUUGAGUAGGAAGACCAGCACUGAGAGCAGAAGGGCCACAGCUUCUUCAGAACUUGUCCCCGAGCUCUGUUUUGAAUGCUUUGGCUGCUUUGAUGACAUCAACAGGCCCAGAAGUGCCCCUCAGGAUGUGCUGCUGGAGGAAUUCUUGGAGGACUGAGUUGCCAUGUGCAGGUGGCUGUGAGUUCAGAGGACGGAGGGCAUGGUCCUGGGCUUUGCAGUUCCAUCUCCAGUGGCUGCUACAGACCUCACCAAGCACAACUGCUGAAAAGGGAGUGAGGCAGAAGGAAUGAAGAUGGGGCUGAUAUUUUUUAGAGAUGCUCCUUUUAAAAGCUGGUUCUGUUUUAUCUUUUUUCUUGUGUUAAAAAAUGAACUCGCUGUUGCCGUCUACAUGGCUAAUAAUCUCUAUGUGAAUGUUUCCUUUCCUAAUUACUAUUUUCUUUUAAAUUAAGCAAUAUGUUGACAUAUUUCUCUACACAUACCCUUACUCACUUACUGGAGUCAAACAAAAGCCAAAAAUACAGUCAGAUAAACAGCCACUUGUGUCUUGGCUCCACCUUCCAGAGUUCAAAGCUAUAUAAACAGUUCAACUGCAUUACAGCACAUUUAAGAAAAUAAAGGCAAAGAAAAGCGUAACAUCAACUUGUGGAGUGUUUUACUAAGAGCACUUCACCAGAUUUUGGGUGUUUAUACUUCUGUAUAAGCUAAAAUAAACACUGUCAAAAGGGACUAAUAAUAAAAAUAAAUUGCAUCGUGGAUGCAAACAAUGCUUUAAGAAAGUACAACUGAAAAAAAUAUGCUAAUAAAUUUGGUUUUGAAAUUAUCAUUACUGGGUUAACAAUAGAACCUGAUACUUUGCUUGCAGGUGUUUAUGUUGCAUUCUCUUAGCAUGUAACAUGCAAACUCUCUGAAGGAUUUUUAGCUACACAUCACCUUUCAAAGCGUGUCUGAGUUCAUUUUAAGGCUUUAUGUUACAUACAGAUUUGGACCACGUAUGAAUAAUGCACAAAACCAACUUCCAUUUUAAGGUCUCAGUACUAUACUAGAAUCCAAAAGUAUUUAAAUGGUCAUUCUGUUAACCGCAUCUAUUUUAGCUGUUGGGUUGCUUUUGUUGUUUUGGUUUUGUUUUGUUUGUUUAGGCAGAUGGUAUAUACGGAUAUUACUCACAAAACAGAAUUAUCUUGAUUUUUAGUGAGAUACAGCAGGAUCAGAGGAGUUACAUGUAUUGCAGAGUUCAGCAUACAAAACCUGCCA